ensembl:snRNA U6 U6 spliceosomal RNA
UCCUGGUACUCACUCCAGCAGCAAUAUACUAAAAUUAGAAUGAUACAGAGAAGAACAGCAUGGCCCCUUUGCAACGAUGACAUGCAAAUUUGUGAAGUGUUCCAUAUUUUU